rnacentral:rRNA from 1 species
GAUGAACGCUGGCGGCGUGCCUAAUACAUGCAAGUCGAGCGAACGGACGAGAAGCUUGCUUCUCUGAUGUUAGCGGCGGACGUGUGUGUAACACGUGGAUAACCUACCUAUAAGACUGGGAUAACUUCGGGAAACCGGAUCUAAUACCGUAUAAUAUUUUGCACCGCAUGGUUCAAAAGUGAAAGACGGUCUUGCUGUCACUUAUAGAUGGAUCCGCGCUGCAUUAGCUAGUUGGUAAGGUAACGGCUUACCAAGGCAACGCUGCAUAGCCGACCUGCGAGGGUGAUCGCCCACACGGGAACUGAGACACGGUCCAGACUCCUACGGGAGGCAGCAGUAGGGAAUCUUCCGCAAUGGGCGAAAGCCUGACGGAGCAACGCCGCGUGAGUGAUAAAGGUCUUCGGAUCGUAAAACUCUGUUAUUAGGGAAGAACAUUUGUGUAAGUAACUGUGCACAUCUUGACGGUACCUAAUCAGAAAGCCACGGCUAACUACGUG